CAGGUAUUCUCAAGUCGGGCCGGGUUCAACUUGUCUAUUCUUCCUUGUUGGAGUGGGAAAGGGGGUGUGUAGCGUUGGGUGGUGAUGGAUGGGGUAGGAGCGUCGGAAACAUCGGAGUGAGAGUGGAUGUUCGGUGGGGGUGGUUACCGCAGGGGUGCUUCGGUGGGGGAGGGCUGGGGUGGUACGAAGGGGUGCCGGGGUGAGCAGACUGAGACUGGGGCUGGAGUGGAGAGGGGUGGGGCGGCAGAGCCAGAGUGGAGCGGCGCGGCUCUGGGUUAGGGGAUUUGGGCCGGGGUUUGGGAUCGCGGCGGCGGUACGACGCGGCUGAGCGGAGGCGGCGGCGGGGCGCCCGGAAGAAGAGCUGGAGGGGCCGACGCCCGGUGCGGGGCGCGGCGCUCAUGCCCGACCAGGGGUACCACUAGCUCGUGUGGAGGGCGCCCCUCGCGCGGAUGCUGUAGAAGAGCGCAGAGGAGUUCCUCGCGUAGCAGACGUAGGUGCCCGGGUAGCGGCUGCUGUGCCGGAGCGAGCAGCAGCGCGUCGACGAGAAGGAGCUCAGGCUCUUGGGGCGGUUCGGCUAGGUGGAGAUGUAGUUGAGGGGGCCGCCCCAGCAGUGGCGCCCGGAGCGCUAGAUGCUGUGCUACGUCAUGUAGGCGAGGGGCCAGUGGUGCGAGACGUAGCCGGUCCGGCGGAGGUACCCGAGCGACGACGAGCGGCGCCCGCGCGGGCCGCUCGCCGCGCGCGACGGGUUGCGGGCCCAAUACUAGGUGGUCGGCAGCCCGCCACGGAGGCCCGUCCGGAGGCUGUAACGCUAGGUCCGGUUCCUCUAGGAGUUCCACGCGCUGGCGGAGUUGUUCUAGAUGCGGUUCGUGUGACCGGUCCGGUAGCUGGCGUAGCUCGUCACAUACCUCUCCCUGUACAAAUACCUGGGUCACCUCCGCGUUCGGACCCCCGAGUAGCUACUCCAGUAGCUCGUGGCGGGUUAAAGUGAGCAAAGACUACGGCACUCGUCACUAGGCGGCUUCUUGCCGCCUCCUCCCCUUUUGUUCCGUUGCCUCCUCGGCAGAGGUCGAACUACCCACCAACGUUCCACGUUAGGAAAAACGCAAAGACAUCGACAGAGCAACCUAAAGUUGUAAGUUACGAAUUAAGAAUGUAUUCCAAUGUUGAACAAUAAGACGCCGUCUGCCAAAUAGUGAUCGAUUCGACUACAAAACGAUGAACUUAAUUAGACGACGAAUAUUACCUACGUUAGGAACGAACGAAUGAAUCGGUAGUAUCGACUAGAAUACAAACAGACUUUAGUUUCCAUCAUCGGGUUGUAUUUCCUAUUUGCGCCGUACAAAUGGUGUCGUCCGUGUAAAAAGAAACCGGAUAGCCUCGUUCAACCCUUACCAUAUUUUGUUUAAAGAUUAACGACUAAGAACAUAGAACACAAACUAUUAAAAUCAACGCGGAACAACUACAUACACCAAAGUAAAUUACUCAACUACGGUGUUAAAAUUGACACGGAGGAACUAAUAAACUAAAGUAAGGUUCUCAGUAGGUAACAAACCUUAAAGUAUGUUAGUUGCAACAGGUGAAACAGAAAGCAUUUCUUUGUCACAAAAUAACAAAUUAAGUUAUGAUUAUGUAUAGUGACUACUGGUCAUUGCUAGAAAG
rnacentral:rRNA from 1 species